UCAUUGUUCCUCCUUUGAAGAACCUAGAGUUUUACUGUGGCGCACAGAACCCUCCUGAUUCCAAUAUGUCCCCCAGGGUUCCGCUCCUGCUCCUUGUUAUCUGUGCUUUUCUCUUCCUUCCACAUGAAGUUGAUACGCUGCAAUGUCGGGAAAGCUCCUCCAGUCCAUGGGAAGAAUUUUUGCCUCCUCGUGCCUGUGAAGCUGAUCCUGAAAGGCAAACCUGCCAUGCCCUAAAGGUGUACCUUAAUGGUGAUCUUCAAAUACAAACACUAAGCUGCAGGACAAAGAAAGAUGCAAAGUGCGGCACCUCAGAGCCCGCCCCGUUCCCAGACCAGUGGACCGAAUUCUUCUGCUGCGAAGACAGUGACUUCUGCAAUGACAAAUUUCUCACGGCACUGGAAGCAGCUUGAAGAUCCUCCACACAUCAGCGCAUGUGUGCAUUGUCUGUGCCCUUUAGUUUUCCUUUGUCCCAUGCUCAUAGUGGUUAAAGGCAUGACUCUGAGUGUGAUUAUGGCUCUGAGUGCGGAAUUCUAAAGCGUUUCCAUUAAUAUAUAUAUAUAUAUUCAAAAGUAAGAUCUUAAGUGUCGUCCAUGGCUACCAAGUUAACACCUUCAAAAUGCAGACUCCCUUGGGGGGUGAUGAACUCUCCCUCCUUGGAGGUUGGAUGGCCAUCUGUCAUGUAUGAUAUCUUCAUUGGAGGGCAUUGGACUAGAUGCCCUAUGGGGUCCCUUCCAACUCUACAUUUCUAGGAUUCUAUGAUACACCAGGACCUCAGUCCCAUAAACCAAUCAAUCUUGGGUUGCCAGAGGGUCUAAUUUAGCCUGUGAGGCCAUUCUUUCCAAACCAUGCCCAUCCAUCCUUCAGCUGACAUCAUUGGUGAGAUAGGAAGGGCAGGGCUUAAUCAUGCACUGGCUGUGCACCACGUUCCCAGCAGGAAACAAGACUUCUGCUGCAAAACCAUCAGGAUUUAAUCCCUGCUCCUCAACUGAUGAACAAGUCCCUAUUCUGAGCAUUUGUUUUUGUAUAAUAGCAAACAAAAGAAUAUUGGUUCCUUUAACCAGACUGGCACAUCUUUGUCUUAUAAAGAGCCAUGUUUUUCUGUCCUUCCCACUCAAACUGGUACAGCUCCAAGGGUUCAACCAAUCUAGCCUAACUAUUACACAUUUUGGAUAAUUUGUCCCUCUUUUCAUCCUUCCAAUAAAUUCAAGAAAGCAUGAGCAAUCCCUUCUUUUCCUUUCUCAUUACAACUCUGUGAGGAAUAUUUGAUUAUUUUAAUGUUAUAUUUAAUGUUAUAUUUUGUAUUUUAAAAUUGUUGUAAGCCACCCUGGGACCUGAGUGAAGGAAGACAAAAAUGAAUUAAUAGUAAUAGAAAUAGAGUUAAUAACCACAGAGUUGUCAUUGUAACUUAAACUAAAAGGUUUGUUGACUGAUAACACUCAGUACAGAAACAAUAUAUUAGGAAGAACAGGAAGAGAAACACAGAUCCUUCAAAAGCAUAUCAAUGUACUGCAAAUCUGAACGGUUCAAUGUGCAUAGUGAAACAAAGUAACAAUAAUUCAUUAUUAGAAUGUGGAUUAAAUAAACAAAUGAA